CUGGGUUUCAGUGAAUUUGCUGGUUGUAGGCAUCACAAGGACUACAACUGAAAGGUUUUCUAUUUGCUGACCAAGAAGGCAUCACUGGAUCCAUGGUGUGGAAGUGAAAAUGGUUAUCCAUGAAAACUUUAGUCAGAACACUGCCUGUUGGUAUUGUGUGCUCUAAUGGAAGAAGCAGAAUCCAAGCUAAGUUGAAGCAUUAUCCAGAGAAACCUACAGUCUGACUGUUCUACAGUCCUGUCCUCUGAUAUUGUGUCCCAUGUCUUUCUAAGGUUUUCAUUUGGCAAUGGCAA